CAGGGACUUGAGGUGGAUUGAAAAAGUUGAAAAAACUUUCACAUUCUUCAGUUUUAGUAAUUGGCUUAGCAUUCUUUGAUCCCUUCUUUGGCUUCUUCUUAAGGAGCUUCUGUGUCAAGCAUUUCCCUGGAUACCAUUCAAUCUCCGUCCUACAAAACAUCAGCCGCAAGAAAAAUUUAGAUCAUGCAAAGUAUAGUGAUAUGUAUCUCAACAUAAGUGCAAGGAAAGAAACACAAGUUACCCUAUAGCUUUCUCAAGAAUAGGCUCAUCUUCAUCAAUCAUGUGAUAGGUCUUUGUCAAGACAGUGUUCUUGAAGUAUGGAUUGGGGUCAAAGUAGAAUUCAAGCUUGAAUCCCUUUGGAUCAUCAAUCCUAAACCACUUAAUGUCUUUGAGAAACUUGAGAGCUCCUUC
rnacentral:lncRNA from 1 species